rnacentral:snoRNA from 1 species
AAGAUCAUACUUUUUGGGAUCAUUUCUAGAUUCUAUAUGCAACGUUUGACAACCAAACUUGCAAAGCAGAUCACCCCUGAUGAAGACCUGUAGAUUACUUUCUUGAGCGUGAAGUGUUGUCUAAUUUUUUGAAUUGGACUGUGAAGAUCGUUUGCUUUACGUACAGUUAGGCAAUGGAAAAUAGUCAUUCUGAGGGGU